rnacentral:rRNA from 1 species
CGGUAGGGGGCAAGCGUUGUCCGGAUUUAUUGGGCGUAAAGAGCGUGUAGGCGGCCAGACAGGUCCGUUGUGAAAACUCGAGGCUCAACCUCGAGACGUCGACGGAAACCGUCUGGCUAGAGUCCGGAAGAGGAGUGUGGAAUUCCUGGUGUAGCGGUGAAAUGCGCAGAUAUCAGGAAGAACACCUAUGGCGAAGGCAGCACUCUGGGACGGUACUGACGCUGAGACGCGAAAGCGUGGGGAGCGAACAGGAUUAGAUACCCUGGUAGUCCACGCCGUAAACGAUGGAUGCUAGGUGUGGGCGGUGUCGACUCCGUCCGUGCCGAAGCUAACGCAUUAAGCAUCCCGCCUGGGGAGUACGGCCGCAAGGCUA